AGUAAUGAGUGCCAGUAUCAAGCCCUGACUUGCUGGCCGGCAACCCUCUUCCCGGCGGGGUGCCUCAGGUGAAUACUCGGCAAACCCAGCUAACAACGGCUGAUAUUUGCAAGCGUGAACC
rnacentral:ncRNA from 2 species